rnacentral:rRNA from 1 species
CCUACGGGUGGCAGCAGUGGGGAAUAUUGGGCAAUGGGCGCAAGCCUGACCCAGCAACGCCGCGUGAAGGAAGAAGGCUUUCGGGGUGUAAACUUCUUUUGUUAGGGAAGAGUAGAAGACGGUACCUGACGAAUAAGCCACGGCUAACUACGUGCCAGCAGCCGCGGUAAUACGGAGGUGGCAAGCGUUGUCCGGAUUUACUGGGUGUAACGGGCGUGUAGCCGGGUUGGGAAGUCAGAUGUGAAAUCCUGCGGCUUAACCGCAGAACUGCAUUUGAAACUGUUGAUCUUGAGUACUGGAGAGGCAGACGGAAUUCCUGGUGUAGCGGUGAAAUGCGUAGAUAUUAGGAGGAACACCAGUGGCGAAGGCAGUCUGCUGGACAGCAACUGACGGUGAGGCGCGAAAGCGUGGGGAGCAAACAGGAUUAGAUACCCGUGUAGUC